UAGCCUAGUGGUUGAGGCUAUGGAUCGCCAAUCCGGAGACGGCGGGUUCGAUUCCCGU
rfam:Aedes albopictus isolate Foshan contig38502, whole genome shotgun sequence.